UUGUAUAUAAAGUUCAUUUUAUAAAGAUUCUUUUGAUUUCUAAUAACGUUUUCUUUGUUCUGAUUUCAGUAGAUCCGAUCAAACUUUAUCUUUUUCUUUCUUUGGAUUUCUAAUAAUCUUUGUUCUGAUUUGUAAUAACUUUUUCUUUGUUCUGAUUUCUGUAGAUCUGAUUUCGGACUCCGAUAAUUCGUCAAUCAAAAGAGGUUAGUUAAGUGUUAUAGUUAUUUUAUCCUUUUUAAGUAUGUAAUAUGUAAUUUUAUCCUUUAUGUUCAUUAUUUUUUUACCUAUUAAUAUAUGUUCUGAAUGAUUUAUGGUUUGUAUUUUCUCAUGGUGAACCCUCAAUCUUUUUUGAAAUUCGGACUCGGAUUGUUAGUCUACCAAAAUAAGUUAUGUUGUUCUGAAUUUUGUAGAUCCGAUCAUAAAAUUGAAGGUAUGUUGUUUUAGUUUGUUGUUUAUCUACCGUGCAUCUUUAAUCUAAGCGAUUGAACAUUUAUAUUUUUUUUGCAAAUAAUAUCAAGAUCAGAGGUUUUGUUAUCAUCAUCUACAUUCUCUGAUUUAUGUAGUGUCUAUGAACGUUAAUCAUGUCUUGGACAUUUAUCAAACUUACUGAUUUUUGUUUAUUUUGAUUUUCAUGUGAAUCCCUAAAUCUUGGAUAACAAUCGGACUCCGAUCAUUCAACAAGCAACAGAGUUCGUCGACCAAAACAGGAAAUACCGUAUGAUGAGCCAGCUUAUUGUGGGAAGGAAAAGUUCCAUAUGCUCAAUGUAUUGAACUUAUUGAUGAUGACUUAUGCAACUGCAGGAGUCUGAAUCUUCUUCGAACACAAGAGUUAUGGAUCCUAAAAACAACGCUCCAAUCGUUUUUAAAAUUGAUUGAUGACUAUCAUCCUAUAUUUUUGGAAAUACCGUAUAAUGAGCGACCUUAUUGUGGGAAAGAAAAGUUCCAUAUGGCCAAUGUCUUGAAAUUAUUGAUGAUGACUUAUGCAACUGCAGGAGUCUGAAUCUUCUUCGAACACAAGACGUAAGUUUAAUUUUAUCGUU